AGAAACAGAAAAAAUACAAAAAGAAAGAAUUUCUCAUAUCUUUUUUGAGAAAUUCAAAGUCCCUUCUCUUUCCAUUCUCUCUUCUCCUGUUUGUCU
rnacentral:ribozyme from 13 species